CCUACGGGGGGCUGCAGUAAGGAAUAUUCCGCAAUGGGCGAAAGCCUGACGGAGCGACGCCGCGUGAAGGAUGAAGUCCUUCGGGAUGUAAACUUCAAUAGUUUGUCAGGAAGUGAGGCGACCUAAUACGUCGCCGAGUUGACCAGCGAACGAAAGGGACGGCUAACUCCGUGCCAGCAGCCGCGGUAAGACGGAGGUCCCUAGCGUUGUUCGGAAUUACUGGGCUUAAAGCGCGUGUAGGCGGAACGGUGAGUACCUUGUGAAAUCCCCGGUCUCAAGCCGGGAACUGCUCGGUAUACUAUCGUUCUUGAGGCAGGUAGGGGUCACUGGAACCUUAGGUGGAGCGGUGAAAUGCGUAGAUAUCUAAGGGAACGCCUGUGGCGAAAGCGGGUGACUGGGCCUGUCCUGACGCUGAGACGCGAAAGCGUAGGGAGCAAACGGGAUUAGAUACCCCAGUAGUC
rnacentral:rRNA from 1 species